rnacentral:misc_RNA from 1 species
UUUUUUCUUUUUCUCUUUAAUGCAACUUUGUUGGGUGAUGAUGGGUUGUAGAAUAUGUAGUGGGAGAGGCAUAGGUAUCCAUGUUAAUCUCUUAGGCAUGUUCUUUUCAACCCUGCUUUGUAGGGGGAUAUAUUGUUACAGCAUCUGGUCCUGCCAUUUCUGGUUUAUUUCCUUCCCCUUUGAAAGGAACUCUUUAAGGCCUUUGCAAUAUUUCGGUGUUCACUGAAAUAAAAUACAAAGCUAUCUUGGAAAAAGAAUGUUUUGUUGACAAAAAGUCCGAUGUUCUGUUCUAAUUUUUAUAUUGCUUUUUUACUUAAGCUUGAAAGAUUAACUUAAUUAAAC